rnacentral:rRNA from 1 species
CCUACGGGAGGCAGCAGUGGGGAAUCUUCCGCAAUGGACGAAAGUCUGACGGAGCAACGCCGCGUGCAGGAUGAAGGCCUUCGGGUCGUAAACUGCUUUUAUAUGGGAAGAUUAUGACUGUACCAUAUGAAUAAGGGUCGGCUAACUCCGUGCCAGCAGCCGCGGUAAGACGGAGGACCCAAGCGUUACCCGGAAUUACUGGGCGUAAAGAGUUGCGUAGGCGGUCUGUUAAGUGGAAUGCGAAAUCUGGUGGCUCAACCAUCAAAUGGUAUUCCAAACUGGCAGACUUGAGGAUGAGAGGGGAGCAUGGAAUUGCUGGUGUAGGAGUGAAAUCCGUAGAUAUCAGCAGGAACACCGAUGGCGUAAGCAGUGCUCUAGAUCAUUCCUGACGCUCAGGCACGAAAGCGUGGGGAGCGAACCGGAUUAGAUACCCCUGUAGU